CACCACAUACUUCACUGCCAGUUAUGGGUCCUGUCAAGGAUUUCUCAUUGCUUUCCCGAUGCUCCGUAUUUAGCCAAAGUCUUGAGACUCUUGGACAGAAGCCAUGAACUGGAUGGGAGAGCAUCAAGGGACAGCAGGAACACCAGUGCCUGACACUUUGACUUGAGCAGGGAGGACUCUGAAAGUCACGUUUAGACUGUGACCACAAAU